AGAGUGUCCAAAUGAGGGAGAGAAGAGAUACAUCUAUUUCAGAAUGUGACAGAAAAACACCAAUAGGCAGGAAAGAGGGGGCGGAAGGAAUUCACCGUACUCUCCAGUACCCCAGUUGCUGGCUGGUUAAUGAAGCAUUCUUCUCAUCAAGCUGCCUCAGUUAUUUACCAAGAGAAUGACAACCCAUUCCCCACCCCCAGCUCGAACACCCACUGUGAUCAGCUCCCUCACUUCAUGACAAUGAGGCGAUAUGUGUGGGACUGGUUUUCGC
rnacentral:lncRNA from 1 species